UACGUCGGGGGCUAGCGUUGUCCGGAUUUAUUGGGCGUAAAGAGCGUGUAGGCGGCCAGAUAGGUCCGUUGUGAAAACUGGAGGCUUAACCUCCAGCUGUCGAUGGAAACCAUCUGGCUAGAGUCCGGAAGAGGAGAGUGGAAUUCCUGGUGUAGCGGUGAAAUGCGCAGAUAUCAGGAAGAACACCCGGGGCGAAGGCGGCUCUCUGGGACGGUACUGACGCUGAGACGCGAAAGCGUGGGGAGCGAACAGG
rnacentral:rRNA from 1 species